CAACCAUAACAAAUAAGGUAUCUUUUAAAACCUUGAGGCUACAAAGGUGGCACAUCUUUGGUAAUGAGUUUCCCAUCCCUGGUCUGGGUAUUAAAACAUUUAAAAAGAUGGCUUCCUUCCUCCUUGAAAAUAAUGACUGGCCGGUGCAUCUUUAAUGUGUUACCAUACUGGUAGAAAGAAGUGCUAAUGUUAUAGUCACUUCCACUACUAGGCCUUGGAAAGGGCUGGCCCUACAGACUAUCCCUUUGUUUUAUCCAGAAAUGACUAGUUCAUCAAAAAGAGAUUCUUACCACCACCUCUGAUGUUUGGCCAUGAUGUUGAAAGACAUCUUUCUAGGGUAAUUCUUCAAAACCCACAUGGCUCUAGAGUGGCCAGCUCAAUUUUUGUUUUAUUCUUUAUAUAUGUCCUACAGUCCGUUCUCAUAAUUAUCCUUAAUUGGAAAAAGCAUUUAGAGACAGAAUUUACUCUGUACAUGCCACAGAGAAGGUUCUUCCCAUUUAAAAGGGAGAGAGAGAGUGAAAUUUGAUGACUCAAAUAAAAAGUUCUUACUUGGGAUGGAAAAAAACAUUAAAAACAUUUAGCAUUUAAAAAUACAUAUUUUUAAUAUGUAUUUGAAAAUAUGGGUGUAUUGGCAUGUUCCUAUAUUCCCAGCUACUCAGGAGGCUAAGGCAGGAGGAUUGCUUGAGCCCAGGAGUUUGAGGAGUUCAACAUAUACAUACAUAUCUGAUAAACUGUUUACAUUAACUUAUGUUCAAAUU
rnacentral:lncRNA from 1 species